UGAGGCUCAGUGCUUGCUUUGGCAGCACAUAAAUGAUACAGAGAGGAUGAGCAGGACCCCUGCGCAAGGACGGCACGCAAACUUGUGAGGCGUUUGAUAUUUUU
ensembl:snRNA U6 U6 spliceosomal RNA